AUUGAACGCUGGCGGCAGGCCUAACGCAUGCAAGUCGAGCGGAUGACGGGAGCUUGCUCCCUGAUUCAGCGGCGGACGGGUGAGUAAUGCCUAGGAAUCUGCCUGGUAGUGGGGGACAACGUUUCGAAAGGAACGCUAAUACCGCAUACGUCCUACGGGAGAAAGCAGGGGACCUUCGGGCCUUGCGCUAUCAGAUGAGCCUAGGUCGGAUUAGCUAGUUGGUGGGGUAAUGGCUCACCAAGGCGACGAUCCGUAACUGGUCUGAGAGGAUGAUCAGUCACACUGGAACUGAGACACGGACCAGACUCCUACGGGAGGCAGCAGUGGGGAAUAUUGGACAAUGGGCGAAGGCCUGAUCCAUCCAUGCCGCGUGUGUGAGGAAGGUCUUCGGAUUGUAAAGCACUUUAAGUUGGGAGGAAGGGCAGUAAGUUAAUACCUUGCUUUUUUGACGUUACCAACAGAAUAAGCACCGGCUAACUCUGUGCCAGCCGCCGCCGUAA
rnacentral:rRNA from 1 species